GGCCGUCUAGCUCAGUUGGUUAGAGCGUCGUGCUAAUAUUAGAGUCUCUCAUCUUAGAAGUGUUAUACGCGAAGGUCUUGGGUUCGACCUCCACGAUGGCCA